CGGCAGCACGGGUGCUUGCACCUGGUGGCGAGUGGCGAACGGGUGAGUAAUGCGUCGGAACGUACCGAGUAGUGGGGGAUAACGCAGCGAAAGUUGUGCUAAUACCGCAUAUUCUGUGAGCAGGAAAGCGGGGGAUCUUCGGACCUCGCGCUAUUCGAGCGGCCGACGUCUGAUUAGCUAGUUGGUGGGGUAAUGGCUCACCAAGGCGACGAUCAGUAGCGGGUCUGAGAGGAUGAUCCGCCACACUGGGACUGAGACACGGCCCAGACUCCUACGGGAGGCAGCAGUGGGGAAUUUUGGACAAUGGGCGAAAGCCUGAUCCAGCCAUGCCGCGUGUCUGAAGAAGGCCUUCGGGUUGUAAAGGACUUUUGUCAGGGAGGAAAUCCCCAGGGCUAAUACCCUUGGGGGAUGACAGUACCUGAAGAAUAAGCACCGGCUAACUACGUGCCAGCAGCCGCGGUAAUACGUAGGGUGCAAGCGUUAAUCGGAAUUACUGGGCGUAAAGCGUGCGCAGGCGGUUGGUUAAGCAAGAUGUGAAAGCCCCGGGCUCAACCUGGGAACUGCGUUUUGAACUGGCCAGCUAGAGUACGUCAGAGGGGGGUGGAAUUCCGCGUGUAGCAGUGAAAUGCGUAGAGAUGCGGA
rnacentral:rRNA from 1 species